rnacentral:lncRNA from 1 species
CUUUUAGUCGAGUCAUCUCCCUUGAUUCCUAUAAGACAAACCUUUUAAUCGAGUCAUCCCCUUUGAUUCAUAUAAGAUGUACCUUUUAGUCGAGUCAUCCCCCUUGAUUCCUAUAAGACAUACCUUUUAGUCAAUUUAUCUCCCUUGAUUCCUAUAAGACGUACCUUUUAGUCGAGUCAUUUCCCUUGAUUACUAUAAGACCUGCCUUUUAGUCGAGUCAUUCUAUUUUACCCCUAGAAGAUGUACCUUUUAGUCGAGUCAUCUCUCUUGAUUUCUAUAAGAGUUCCGUUUAGUCGAGUCAUUUCUCUUGAUUACUAUAAGACGUACCUUUUAGUCAAGUCUUUCCCUUUGGCC